rnacentral:rRNA from 1 species
AGAUUGAACGCUAGCGGGAUGCUUUACACAUGCAAGUCGAACGGCAGCGCGGACUUCGGUCUGGCGGCGAGUGGCGAACGGGUGAGUAAUAUAUCGGAACGUGCCCAGUAGCGGGGGGAUAACUACGCGAAAGCGUGGCUAAUACCGCAUACGCCCUACGGGGGAAAGGGGGGGAUCGCAAGACCUCUCACUAUUGGAGCGGCCGAUAUCAGAUUAGCUAGUUGGUGAGGUAAAGGCUCACCAAGGCGACGAUCUGUAGCUGGUUUGAGAGGACGACCAGCCACACUGGGACUGAGACACGGCCCAGACUCCUACGGGAGGCAGCAGUGGGGAAUUUGGACAAUGGGGGAAACCUGAUCCAGCCAUCCCGCGUGUGCGAUGAAGGCCUUCGGGUUGUAAAGCACGUUUGUCAGGAAGAAACGGCGUCCGUUAACUACGGGCGUCAACUGACGGUACCUGCAGAAUAAAGCACCGCUAACUACGU